rnacentral:rRNA from 1 species
AUUGAACGCUGGCGGCAUGCUUUACACAUGCAAGUCGAACGGCAGCGCGGGCUUCGGCCUGGCGGCGAGUGGCGAACGGGUGAGUAAUACAUCGGAACGUGCCCAGUAGUGGGGGAUAGCUCGGCGAAAGCCGGAUUAAUACCGCAUACGACCUGAGGGUGAAAGCGGGGGAUCUUCGGACCUCGCGCUAUUGGAGCGGCCGAUGGCAGAUUAGCUAGUUGGUGGGGUAAAGGCCUACCAAGGCGACGAUCUGUAGCUGGUCUGAGAGGACGACCAGCCACACGGAGACUGAGACACGGCCCAGACUCAUACGAGGGGCAGCAGUGGGGAAUUUUGGACAAGGGGCGAAAGCCUGAUCGAGCAAUGCCGCGUGUGAUGAAGGCCUUCGGGUUGUAAAGCACUUUUGGCGGGAACGAAAAGGACUGUGCCAAUACCACGGUUCGAUGACGGUACCCGCAGAAUAAGCACCGGCUAACUACGUG